rnacentral:rRNA from 1 species
CAUGCAAGUCGAACGAAGCGCUUAAAUGGAUUUCUUCGGAUUGAAGUUUUUGUGACUGAGUGGCGGACGGGUGAGUAACGCGUGGGUAACCUGCCUCAUACAGGGGGAUAACAGUUAGAAAUGACUGCUAAUACCGCAUAAGCGCACAGUGCUGCAUGGCACAGUGUGAAAAACUCCGGUGGUAUGAGAUGGACCCGCGUCUGAUUAGCUGGUUGGUGGGGUAACGGCCUACCAAGGCGACGAUCAGUAGCCGGCCUGAGAGGGUGAACGGCCACAUUGGGACUGAGACACGGCCCAAACUCCUACGGGAGGCAGCAGUGGGGAAUAUUGCACAAUGGGGGAAACCCUGAUGCAGCGACGCCGCGUGAGCGAAGAAGUAUUUCGGUAUGUAAAGCUCUAUCAGCAGGGAAGAAAAUGACGGUACCUGACUAAGAAGCACCGGCUAAAUACGUGCCAGCAGCCGCGGUAAUACGUAUGGUGCAAGCGUUAUCCGGAUUUACUGGGUGUAAAGGGAGCGUAGACGGUUGUGUAAGUCUGAUGUGAAAGCCCGGGGCUCAACCCCGGGACUGCAUUGGAAACUAUGUAACUAGAGUGUCGGAGAGGUAAGCGGAAUUCCUAGUGUAGCGGUGAAAUGCGUAGAUAUUAGGAGGAGCACCAGUGGCGAAGGCGGCCUACUGGACGAUCACUGACGUUGAGGCUCGAAAGCGUGGGGAGCAAACAGGAUUAGAUACCCUGGUAGUCCACGCCGUAAACGAUGACUACUAGGUGUC